GACGAACGCUGGCGGCGUGCUUAACACAUGCAAGUCGAACGAAGAGCGAUGGAAGCUUGCUUCUAUCAAUCUUAGUGGCGAACGGGUGAGUAACGCGUAAUCAACCUGCCCUUCAGAGGGGGACAACAGUUGGAAACGACUGCUAAUACCGCAUACGAUCUAAUCUCGGCAUCGAGGAUAGAUGAAAGGUGGCCUCUACAUGUAAGCUAUCACUGAAGGAGGGGAUUGCGUCUGAUUAGCUAGUUGGAGGGGUAACGGCCCACCAAGGCGAUGAUCAGUAGCCGGUCUGAGAGGAUGAACGGCCACAUUGGGACUGAGACACGGCCCAGACUCCUACGGGAGGCAGCAGUGGGGAAUCUUCCGCAAUGGACGAAAGUCUGACGGAGCAACGCCGUGUGAGCGAUGACGGCCUUCGGGUUGUAAAGCUCUGUUAAUCGGGACGAAAGGCCUUCUUGCGAAUAGUGAGAAGGAUUGACGGUACCGGAAGAGAAAGCCACGGCUAACUACGUG
rnacentral:rRNA from 1 species